rnacentral:tRNA from 1 species
UCAAAAACAGUUCAUGAGAACACUAACUUUGGGAGUUAGAAGAUGAUGUUUAAAUCAUUUUUGAA